rnacentral:lncRNA from 1 species
UCCUCCGUCGCCCGAUUCGGGUCCAAGGGGGUCGACGGUCUCCCCUUCGUUUCACUUCUCGCGGGUUGAGAGAGCUUGGCUCUCAAGGACACCGUAACAGGGGCCGAAGGGCCCAUCGUUUUCCGUCGUCGGCCAUUGGUCAAGGCGGCGGCGCGACCAUUUCGUUACCAGAGACCAUAAGUUAGAGGUGUGGGGAGUGUUGAGAGAUUGUGAGUUUUUUUUUUUACUUUGAAUGGCUGAAGGAGUAAAAAAAAAACUUUAGUUUUUAUAAAGAAAGUGGAACAGCGUUGUUUGAUGGAGGGAUUUGUGCAUUCUAUGCCCUAAUGGGUAAUUUAUGAAUUUAGUCCCUCCAUCUUGCGUUGAGGUGCAAUAAAACUCUUUAUUUCUUUUAGAUUUAGGCUGCAAAUUUUGAUUCUGUUUCAAUCAGGUCCUUUGACCAUACAUGGUCUUUUGCGCUGAAACAUUGCACUCUCGGACUGGGGUAUAUAGCCCGAUUAGUCCUUCAUUCUUCGCACGCGCGCCAUUUUAAUCCCUUGUGACCUAUUUAUGGUUUUUGCAAUUAAAACCCCAGAUUCUAGUUUGAUUUCAGUAUCACCCCAGGUCCAUUUUAAGAUCUUUAUUUAUUUAUUUUUUAUUUUUUUAAACUUUCCUUUAUUAUUAUUUGUUUUAAACUUCUUAUUUAUCAUUUAUUAUAAACUAUUUUUGCAUGUUAUUUAUUUAAUUCUUUUAAUAUAUUAUCCAUUUUAAAUCACUAUAUGUGUAUAUUCUUUUAAAUUCCCACGUAUGUAUAUUCCAAAGAAAUUCGUCGUAGGCCUUUUGUUUAUUUGUUUUAAACUAUUAAUAUUCACUUAAAAUUUUUAUAUACCAUAUAUUUUUGAAGCCUGUUAUUAUUUAUUCUUGUAAAUCAUUUAUUUUAAAUUGUUAUUUGCUUUAAAUUGUUUUGCAUACACAUAUUUUUAAAAUAUUUCCUUUUCUUUAACAUUAUUUGUUCAAAAUUUAUUUAUUAUCUUUUAAAACUAUCCUGCAUUUUAUUUGUUCUAAUUUGCUUUGUAUUAUUCAUCUUGAAAUUGUUAUAUAUGUUAUUUAAUUUAUUCGUCUUUGACUAUUAAUGCUAGUCUUUAAAUAAUGUAUGUUGCAUGCUUAUUACCAUUAUGUGUACUAUGAAUUGUUUAUUUGUAUUUUAAUAUUAUUGUUAUUUAUCAACGUAACCAUUUAUUCAUACAUCAAUUUAACAUCACAUCAAUUUUUACCCAAAUUAGUAAAAAAAUGAUAUUUUUGGAAAUAAAGGCAAUACUCGAUACUUGGGAUCUUCGAGGGAAUUGGGCCCAAACGUGUUGGGUUCUAAUUUUUUUCGUUGAAUCUAAAUAAUCGAGAAUCCUCUUUAAUAAAAAAAACAUAAAUAAAAAUCUCAUUAUCGGGAAUCCAAUAUGUUGUGUCCUAAUGCAUUGGAUGUGACACGUUGUUUUCUCGAAAUGAGGAUUUUUCAAAGAAAUAAUAAAGGCAAUAUUCUAUAUUUAGAAACUCGAGAAGUCGUGCCCUAACUUAUUGGGUUCCGAUUUUUCUCGCGUUAAACCUAAAUAACCAAAUAUUCUUUUAAAAUUGAAUUAAAUGAGGUUUAAAUAAAAAAUAAAAGGCAAGCUUACUCUCAAAAAUACGAGGUGUCGUGUCCUAACUUACUUGAUGUGACAUCUUGUUAAUUCGAGAUAAGACGGCAUUUUUCAUUUUGAUUUAUUCGAGUAAUUUUUAAAACAACACAAUAUAAAGAGGGAUCGUAUUUUUAAAUUCUUUUCGAGUUUUUAGUUUUUGACACCAAGGCAUUAAGUAAUCAACUAGGUACCAAUUUUGGGCGUAUCGAGGGUGCUAACCCUUCCUCGUGUGUAAUCGACUCCUGAACCUAUUUUCCUGAAUUUCGUAGACCGAAAUCGUUAUUUUAAUAAAACCUAAAUCGUUUAUUAAAAACAACCGUUUUACGAGGUGACCCGAUCACACCUCAUAAAAAAAGAUUGGUGGUGACUCCCACAUUCGAUUUCAUUUUUCAAAACCCAAGUCGACCCCGUUUUAUCAAAAAAAUGGUGUCAAUAGCUUGGCGACUCCACUGGGGAUGCCAAAAUAAAUGAGUCAAGCCACGAGUUGAUUACUUUUUUUCUUUUUGUCAAAAAUCAAAAACUUGGUUUAAAUAUACGAUCGUUUCGUUGCAUUUCAUUCGUCCUUAUUACGAUCUUCACCAUUGUGGUUUGUAAUUGCUGUGUUAGUUUAAGUUUUAGUAUAUUUCUGCAAAUUGCAUUGCAUGACCGUUGGUCACACCUUUUUAAGUGGGAGUGAGAAACUACGCCUUCGUGAGGUUUUCUCCUCCGCAUGGGAUAGUGAAUUGCUUCCGGGAUACAUCCGUACCUAUGUCUUCGUGAGAUUUUCAUCUCCGUGCAGCCAUAGGGAAAUGUAUUCCCCUGAACCGAACUCGGUUCGCAUGAGCCUAUAAUGGGUGAGGAUCGAGGAAUCUGUUGGUUCGGGUACCCUUACUUUAGAACCAAACCUCAUGUAGUGAACCUUAGGAGCCCACCCUAGAAAGAACCACUUCGAACCCCUAGUGGUCACCCGAAUAGGUGUUCUAUUUAUUUUUGCUUGCUUUUGCAUUGUACUAACCUAUUUUCUUUUGUUUUGGUUAUGAUUGCAUUGCAUUUUUCAUCAUAAAAAAGAGGUGUUGAUUCACGUUCAGUUGUUAAAUAGAGAGCUUGUCAUAAGAAAAUGAGUUUCUUGAUAAAGUGGAUGAAACUACGGUUGUCCGAAUAUGGUCCAAGAAAACGUGAUAAGAGAAGGAUGAUGGAGGACUACACGACUAUUGCCCAAGGAUUCAAGAUGACAAAAUUAUCCGAGAGCCGCUGAACUUUCUUAAAGAGAAGCCAACGAACAUCACCAGGAUGAGUGAGCAACAAGUCGCAGCCCAGAGGAAAUAGAAGAGACGUCCCUUCUGGAGAGUUCUUAAAAUUUAUCUUAACGCUCGAAUGAAGAAGAGGAUCGAAUGUCUCCGUAUAUGAGGGCAAAGCCGUAUAUAUAUCCACUUUAUGUAAAGAGAUUUAUUUCCUAGUAAAGUUGUUCUAAUAGAAUUGAACCAAGAAUCAACAUCUCUUUUUGCAUUCAUUGCACGUAUCUUUUCAUUCAUUAACAUUACAUUUCAUUACAUACAAUAAAUUUCCUAAAAUCCAAAAAUACGCAUUCAUGCAUCAACAUUACAUUUCAUUGCAUACUAAAUUUCCUAAAAUCCAAAAGUACGUCGAGUUUAGAACUCUAGUACAAAACCAAAUGGAUUGGAAUUCUUUGAAUAUAUCGAUGGUUCGAAAGGUGAAGAUGUUUGUGCCUUCGAAGAAGAACUAAAAAAUGAAAAAACCUAUCAUGAAUUUGUUUCUACAUCCUUAAGGGCGUUCUAAACAACUGAACUGUGGAGGAGAUUUCUUGUAAUUUUUAGGACCAUUUCAGAGUAAUAUUUGGAACGCUCUUAUUGUUCUAAGCCUGGGAGCAAUAGAAAAUCCUUUUGUGAAAAGGCACAUGUCCACUAUUCUUUAUUUCAACGAAAUGCAUCUUUGUGUCUUGUUUUGGGCAAAUAUUCUUUUGUUCUUUCCAGUUCAUUCAUGCUCAUACCGUACAGAUAAUUGUCAUUCGAUUCAUUAACUCUUUGAACCUUCCUUCGUCCUUAGAAUAGGUCUCCAAAUAUCAAUGAUAUGAGCGACACUACUAUUGACUCAGAAUCUCCUUUUGAGCAAGAUAUGUGUCUAGGGGAACCUUAAGACUUUGAAGAUGAUCGAGACUGUAAUUUAUCUCCUGAUUUAUUAAGGAUGGUAGAGCAAGUCGAAAAGCAAAUCCUACCUUACAAAAAAAUCAGUUGGAAAUUGUGAGCUUAGGAGAAGAGAAAAAGGUGAAGAUCAGAGCUUGUAUCACCGCAGAGACGAAGCGAGAUGUCAUUGAGUUACUCCAAAAUUUCAAAGAUGUUUUCACAUGAUCAAGAUAUGCUUGAGCUACAAAGACGUGUGGACGCCCUUAAGGAAAAGAAGAUCUUGGGAGAGGUCUAUACGGGUGUUUGAGGAACACAUGCUAAUGAUUUUGUAAUGGCCAAGCAAAUCAGGAGAUUUGGGUACUGCUGGUCCACCAUGGAAAGGGAUUACAUCAGUUAUACCAAGAAACGCCACAAGGGCCAAAUUUACGAAGACAAGAUUUAUAUGCUUCCUUUAUCUCUUCAUGUUAUGACUUUUCCAUAGACUUUCUCUAUGAGGGGCAUGGAUGUCAUUGGGCCGACCUCGCCAAAAGCUUUUGGCGGUCAUCGAUCCAUAUUUGUGGUCGUCGAUUACUUUAUCAAGUGGGUAGAGGUUGUUUCAUAUGCCAAUAUUGCAAAGCUGACAGUCAGUAAAUUCCUGAAAAAGAAAUCAUAUGUCGGUAUGGAAAGCCAAAAGGCUCAUGUCAGACAAUGCGUUGAAUUUGAAUGAUGACAUGAUAUCAGAAGUUUGCAGUCUAUUCAAUAUUAACACCAUGCUGCCCCAAAAUGAACGACUCAGUGGAGGAAAACAAAAAAAACAAAAAAACCUCUACCGGGGCAUCUCAUUUCCCAUUGGUAUAUGGAAUAGAGGCAGUCUUACCCAUCAAAGUCGAUAUUCUUUCCCUUCGAGUCUUGUCAGAGCUGAAGUUAGAUGAAGCUGAAUGAAUCCUGGCCCGACAUGAUCAGUUAAAAUUUGAUUGAAGAGAAAGGUCGAAAGCUAUUCGUCAUGGUCAAAUACACCAAAAACAAAUGAUGCGAGCUUACCAAAGAAAAGGUUCACCCCAGAGAAUUCCAUGAGGGGAACCUGAUAUCGAAGAAGAUCCUUUCCAAACAAAAAGACUUCAAAAGAAAGUGGAUGCCAAAUCGAGAAGGACCUUAUGUGGAAGGCCUUAUCUAGGAGAGCGUCGGUAUUGACCAAGAUAGAUGGCAAGAACUUGCCUAAUCUAGAGAAUUUUGAUGCAAGCAAUAGAAACUUCACUUGAGAAAAAAAACAAAAAGAAAAAAGAAAAGAAAAACGAAAAAGAAAAGAGAAAAAGGAGAGGCCAAUGUGAAAACCCGCAAAGGGCGCAUUGAGACAAAAAGGGUUUUGAAUUGAAAACCUAGGAAUAGGCAGUUCAAAUUUUGAUCGAAGGUGGGGUAUGCGGUAGUCUUGUCCUCUCCGAAUUAAUAAGAAGGAGAGAUGCUACAUCUUGGGGCAUCAACAAAGUCUUCUAGGACUUUUAGACACAUAUCAAGUUCAAAAGGGUCCUCAAGAAGUUUGGGGCAGAGAAGCUCAUGCUAUGAUAUCUGGGGCACCUAUUUCCAUUUUAUUCAUUUUGUAUUUUUGACAAAAUACGCCAUCUUGAUUAAUUUAUUCUCAUUUUGUAUUCUAGCAAAAUUUGCUAUCUUGAUUAAUUUGUUCAUUUAGAGCUUUGCUCUCAACAAAUUUUCAUCUUAUCUAUUGUGAUAAUCUUUGUCAUCUUAUACAUCUUGUAUCUCAGCAAAAUUUGCUGUCUUGAUUGAUUUGUUUGUUUAGAGCUUUGCUCUCAACAAAAUUUCAUUUUGUCUAUUUUAAUAAUCUUUUUCAAGCAUUUUUCAUUGAAAUAAUGAUUAAUGGACUGACAAUACUCAUGCAGAAGGAGUUCUACAUAUUACUCUGAAAGUUUCUAAAUAAUACGAGGACCUGAAAUAGGACUAUUGUUUAGAACUAACCAAACCUAAGGGUUGGAAACAUUUGAGAAAGGAUAGUCUAAAUUGAGACUAUUUCUUUGAAUCUUCUGUCAAAGAUACUUGUUGAACGGGAAAACAUCAGUGAUAGAACCUUGACGAACAACGAGGAACGACAACCCAAACAUUAAAAAGGGAUCAUUCUCAUGACAUUCUACAUUCAUGAAAAUAUCAUUCAUACACAUCUAGUUAGGAGCAUUUGAUUUAUUCUGAUUAUGUCAUCCUAAACACUAGGCAUAAAUAGGUCCACGAAAUGGAUUUUGCAGGUCAUAUUCCCCAGAGAAUAGAUCAAAGAAAGCAGAUCUUGCCUUCCUGCAUUAACAGUGAAGAAGAUCGAAAACAAAGCUUUGCCUCCAUCGGUUGCAGUGGAGCUGGUCAAAGAUAACAGAUCUUGCCUUCCUGCAUUAACACCGAAGCAGAUCGAAAACAAAGCCUUGCCUCCAUCAGUUGCAGUGGAGCUGGUCAAAGAUAGCAGAUCUUGCCUUCCUACAUUAACAACGAAGCAGAUCGAAGACACAAACAUUGCCUCUCUCGGUUGUAGCAGAGCUGGUUAAAGACAACAGAUCUUGCCUUCCUGUAUUGACAGCGAAGCAGAUCGAAGACAAACCUUGCCUCUCUCGGUUGUAGUUGAGCUGGUUGAAUACAACAGAUCUUGCCUUCCUGCAUUGACAGCGAAGUAGAUCGAAGACAAACCUUGCCUCUCUCGGUUGUAGUGGAGUUGGUUGAAUACAACAGAUCUUGCCUUCCUGCAUUGUCAGCGAAGUAGAUCGAAGACAAACCUUGCCUCUCUCGGUUGUAAUGGAGCUGGUUGAAUACAACAGAUCUUACCUUCCUGCAUUGACAGCGAAGCAGAUCGAAGAUGAACCUUGCCUCUCUCGGUUGUAGUGGAUCUGGUUGGAGACAACAGAUCUUGCCUUCCUGCAUUAACAGCGAAGCAGAUUGAAGACACAAAACUUGCCUCUCUCGGUUGUAGCAGAGCUGGUUAAAGACAACAGAUCUUGCCUUCCUGCAUUGACAGCGAAGCAGAUCGAAGACAAACCUUGCCUCUCUCGGUUUUAGUGGAGCUGGUUGAAGACAACAGAUCUUGCCUUCCUGCAUUGACAGCGAAGCAUGUCGAAGACACAAACCUUGCCUCUCUCAAUUGUAGUGGAGCUGGUUGAAGACAACAAGUCUUACCUUCCUGUACUGACAGCGGAGCAGACUAAAAAUAACAGAUCUUGCCUUCUUGUAAUGACGGAGAAGCAGAUCAAGGAUGGCAAAUUUUACCUCCCUGUGACUACAGUGGAGUACAUUGAAGCCGAUAAUUCUCUCUCUCUGGUUGGUAGUGGAAUGGAUUGAAGAUCAAAGAUGGCAGAUUUUACCUCCCAGUGAUUACAGUGGAGUACAUUGAAGCCGAUAAUUCUAUCUCCCUGGUUGGCAGUGGAAUAGAUUGAAGAUCGAAGAUGGUGAAUCUUAUCUUCCCAAGAUAGUGGAGAAGCAGAUUUAAGCCAUUAGUCCUAUCCCCCUGGGUAGUAGUGGAAUAGAUUGAAAAUCACAGAUCUUAUCUUUCUGAAGUUGCAGUAGAGCAGAUCGCAUCCAGUCUUAUCUCCCUAAGCAGUAGUGGAGCAGACAAAAACCACAAAUCUCACCCCUAUGGAGUUGCAGUAGAGUAGAUUGAAGCUACAAACCGUAUCUCUCUAAGGUGCAGUGAGGUGGAUUGAAGCAACAAAACACAGUGGACUAAAAUGAGGCUACUCGAAGAAGAAAAGCACCAAGAAGUCAAGACUCGGUGAGACCGGGCAAAAUUGGUCUUUCUUAGUCUUUGCUCUAUUCUCGUUACACGAAAAUGAGCAAAGAGGGGCAGCUGUAAAAGCCCAUUUUUGCCCGGGCCCAAUAUGGCUCAACAAAGCCUAAUAACCCAAAAUAAUGGCCCAAAAAAACCCUUCACCCAAAUCAAGCCCAAAAUCAAACAAAUUAGAAAAACCUAGGGUUCCUUAACCCUCUUUGCGCCGCAUGUCUCCCUAGCCUCAAGAGCUGCUGCUUUUGCCCAAUGCCCCCUCGCGCAUGCCUUCUGGAACCACCGUCGGCCUCGUCUGACACCUGCAGAGGGAAAUAAAUACAAAGCAACAGGAGAAUCCGGCGAAAUAAUGGCAAAAGGACAAAAGAUUAGAAAUAGAGAGACUUGUAAUUCGGGUUAUAAAAGCCCCAAGCACUAUUUGCACUUUUUCUUCUUGGAUUUUCUUUGUAAAAACGCAAAUUAGAAAUCAAAAAAACUGAAUAGAUUUUUUUUUAAAAAAGGUUGAAUCCCUGCUAUUUCCUCUGCGUUUAUUUAUUUAUUUUUGUGUUUAUCUUAUUUUUUUCUCUUUCUUUUGUAAAUCUAUUUUAAAUAACUAAUAAAAAAUCAAAAGCGAAAGAGGGGGAAGAGAAACUCAUCGGAGUUGGUCGUGACCGUGCCGCCAGUGGGUCUCUCCUCCGUCGCCCGAUUUGGGUCCAAGGGGGUCGACGGUCUCCCCUUCGUUUCACUUCUCGCGGGUUGAGAGAGCUUGGCUCUCAAGGACGCCGUAACAGGGGCCGAAGCGCCCAUCGUUUUCCGUUGUCGGCCGUUGGCCAAGGCGGCGGCGCGACCAUUUCGUUACCAGAGACCAUAAGUUAGAGGUGUGGGGAGUGUUGAGAGAUUGUGAGGUUUUUU